rnacentral:rRNA from 1 species
GCAAGUCGAACGCCCUCUUAGGAGGGAGUGGCAGACGGGUGAGUAACACGUGGGAAUCUACCUAUCUCUGCGGAACAACACAUAGAAAUGUGUGCUAAUACCGCAUACGCCCUUAGGGGGAAAGAUUUAUCGGUGAUAGAUGAGCCCGCGUUAGAUUAGCUAGUUGGUGAGGUAAUGGCUCACCAAGGCGACGAUCUAUAGCUGGUCUGAGAGGAUGAUC